UACGUAGGGGGCUAGCGUUGUCCGGAAUCAUUGGGCGUAAAGAGCGCGUAGGCGGCCAGAUAAGUCCGGUGUGAAAGUCAAAGGCUCAACCUUUGAAUGCCGCUGGAAACUGUCUGGCUAGAGUCCGGAAGGGGCGAGUGGAAUUCCUGGUGUAGCGGUGAAAUGCGCAGAUAUCGGGAGGAACACCAGCGGCGAAGGCGGCACUCUGGGCUGGAACUGACGCUGAGGAGCGAAAGCGUGGGUAGCAAACAGG
rnacentral:rRNA from 1 species